AAAUGAAUAGACGGGGACCCGCACAAGCAGCGGAGCAUGUGGUUUAAUUCGAAGCAACGCGAAAAACCUUACCAAGGCUUGACAUCCUGCGCCAUACCCCGAAAAGGGUAUUUCCUUUCGAGGACGCAGAGACAGGUGUUGCAUGGUUGUCGUCAGCUCGUGUCGUGAGAUGUUCGGUUAAGUCCGGUAACGAGCGCAACCUUUAUCCUUAGUUGCCAAUAUUUAGUUAGGAACUCUGAGGAGACUGCCGUAGAUAAUACGGAGGAAGGAGGAGAUGAUGUCAAAUCAUCACGGCCCUUACGCCUUGGGCUACACACGUGCUACAAUGGCUAUUACAAAGAGCAGCAAACCCGCAAGGGGGAGCGAAUCUCAUAAAGAUAGUCUCAGUUCGGAUUGAGGGCUGAAACCCGCCCUCAUGAAGUCGGAGUUGCUAGUAAUCCCGAAUCAGCAUGUCGGGGUGAAUGCGUUCCCGGGUCUUGUACACACCGCCCGU
rnacentral:rRNA from 1 species